rnacentral:sRNA from 1 species
GAGCUACUUUCAAACUUCUCAAGUGUCUGUGCUAGAUUCCCCACCAAUCAUCAUUCCUGAAGACAGCUUUAUACUUGAAGGAAGAACUCAUCUUUUAACUGAAUCUUCAUCAGUUGAAGUAGACUAUAAAAUAUUAGUAACAUCAGCUCUAUUACACAUGUGUGAAAGAUGUCGUCGCUAUACAGCCAAAUCAACGACAGUGACUUGUGAUAGAUGUCUAAAUGCAAUGGCCAAUGACUGGGCAACAUGAUAAAAUACUCAAAACUAGAAUCUAGUUUUAUGUUAUUGUAAUUUUAUUGUCUGAUGAUUUUAUGUCAUAAAACAUACAGAAUAUCA